AGACCACACGCUCAGACUUCCGCGUCGCUGAUCGCGAAUGAAUAUUCAUCCGUUCCUAUUUCGUCUUUGUCGGUCGUUCCCGGCGAUUAGCAACCGCGCUAUUAUCAGACGUCGAGUUAAUUCUAUUCUCCUCGGCACUUCGCGAAAGUUAGCCUCGUAACGUCGCAACAGUUUGAAGUUUUCCCUCGCGAAGACGGGGGAAAAGGAAGCGAGAAAGAAGACUCGUGCUACCGUAACCGCCAAGUCUCGGUCCAUAAAGCCGCCGAGUGCGCAUAAGUGAAGUGGUCGCACGAAACGGAACGACGGACCUGCUCUGUGGUAUUCUGUGCCAUCAACCUACCUACGCGACAAUUGUUUGCGAUGUUUGCGGAGAAAAGCGCCGUAAAAGCUGGCUGAUUUCGCGGCGGGCAGAGGACUCUUCGUUAAAGAGGAAGAUGAAACGGGUCCGACCCGCAUAGCUUCAUUUCCCCAGACAUCUCGAGCUGCGCCUACCGUGUGUCGAUGGAAAUGUGUCUUAUACAGUUAUCCUGAUCAUUUAUGAGCGUCGUUGUCUCGGACCUCGGCGAGCCCGACGGCCUACACCGCCGUCAUCGGCUGAACGAGAACUUAUUACGAUCCGUCAUUUUGUCCGUUCACCGCUCGUAACAAGCAUCUUUUAUGACACCACGUAAAAUGGGAAGAACGAUGGCGCGGCGCCAUAGACGUUGAUUGUCGGGGGACUUUCCUUUCUCGCGCUCUCUCUUUCACGCCGCGUCCCUUUCGUCGUCCACUCCCCGGCCGCUUCUCUCUUUUCGCAGUUUCUACCGCCCUGAGGAAAGGAAUGGCGGUACAUUCUCUAACGGAGGGAAACCGCCGUCGCCCUGAACGGGCAUCCCGGCGCACGGUGGCAGGAAGACGUUGUUAGGGCUAUUGCUCUCUGUCCGAAUGAAGGACCGCUCAUAUUUACAAGCGACGGUAGCAAAUGGUCGAAAUGGCGAGAGGCAGCGGAGCAGGGCAGCGUGCGGACGGAUGAAACAUCAAGGGAACGAACCCGUCAAAUCGGCCUGUGGGACUCGGCAACGAUUCGCUUCUCUCUCUAUCCGUUCCCCAAUCUGCGCGCCAUUUUUAUUCCCACCCGUCACUGCGAGGGAGAGGUUGCAUCCUCGGAAUUCACUCGGGUGUUCUCGUCGAACGUUUCUCGCUCGUCACGCGAUUUGUAGCGGUGAUGAUUUUCGACGAGAUAAUGUGAAGAUAGGUUCGGCGCACUUGAUGGAACAAAUGGUCAAAUGCUUCUAACAGGACCUGUCGACGCAUAUUUUUGCCCGAUGUCAAUACACCAAUAUACAAUGCGCGUUAAAAUUGUGCAAUUAUAGAUUUUCCAUCGAAUAUAGAAAACCGAAUUUUUUAAAAUAGAAUUGAAUUAAAUGUCAUUUUUUGUUCACAAUUAUUUUCAACUUUCUAAUUAGUUUUUAAUUAACACUUAAUUGAAAUUAAAAUUGAUAUAAUUGUGGCAGCUACAAUAACGAUUUUAAAUCUGUCAAUCUAGCCAUCUAUUUUUAAUUAAUUCUUUUUUAGCUUAAACUGUGAAAUAAAUUAACAAUAGCAAAAACUAGACAAAAAAUUCUCAUCAGGAUAUAUCGUCAAACGAUAAAAUCUUUAACAGAUUGAAAGAAAAGUUUAAAGGGACGUUAAAAAAGUUCAGAGAAAAACGAACAGUUAAACUGUGUCGGAGAGACAAAAAUUGGACCAAGUGUGCCUUAGGCGGAUACUUUUGGAAAAGUGUGGCCUAAAUAGAACAUCACCCGGCGAGAUAAAGACGGUUUGAAGACCAAGUCUAAAAAAGGAUGCCAUUAAACUACGAGCAAGUCGCAAAACAGUUUCAUACAGACCUCAAAAUUAAAAACGGCAGAUAUAAAAGACUGUUUAAUGUUAGUUACAAACUAUACUUGUUCCCGUAAUAAAUAUUAUUCGAAUAUCUAAUACGCUUUAUACUGCAAUUUCUUA